AGAGGACCCGGAGCAUUAUCUGAAUGAACUAAUGACCAACAGGCGGGCAGAAAUGAGUGCUGCGGAUUGAUAACAGGGACAGCCAGACCCCCUCCCAUCCCCACGAGGCAGAGGCACCAGGCCACCUGGCUUUCCCACACAUCAACCUCGUGCUCACACCCCACUCUGGAGACCACCAGCUUCGAGGCAAAAAGAGAGAACGACGUACAAUGGGGUAAAGCCUCCAUGUGUAGGCGAUGUUGUGAGGAAAGGGUGGCCGGUUGGAAGGGAACAUUUUUAAAUUGA
ensembl:lncRNA novel transcript